UACAGAGGGUGCAAGCGUUGUUCGGAAUUAUUGGGCGUAAAGCGCGUGUAGGCGGCUUUGCAAGUCGGGUGUGAAAGCCCUCGGCUCAACCGAGGAAGUGCGCCCGAAACUGCAGAGCUUGAGUACCGGAGAGGAUGGCGGAAUUCCCCAAGUAGAGGUGAAAUUCGUAGAUAUGGGGGAGGAACACCGGUGGCGAAGGCGGCUUUCUGGACAGUGACUGACGCUGAGACGCGAAAGCGUGGGGAGCAAACAGG
rnacentral:rRNA from 1 species